AAUUCUCAAACCUUCUUGGUUAUUAUGACCAAGAUGGCUUUGGACUUUGGAGGUCUUUUGCUGGCUUUGCGAAAAGUCGGCUCCUCUUAAAUGCAUUAGUGGGGUCCUCUUUGCUGAUCCUCAGGCGUUGAUAAGAUGUUUCUACGUCUUGGGAUUUGCUCUGAUUAAUGAGAACCCGCUUCUAACCGUCUCACUAUAAGGAGACAUCGUUCGAGUUUUACUCGACCCACGAA
rnacentral:misc_RNA from 1 species